rnacentral:rRNA from 1 species
UACGGGGGGGGCAAGCGUUGUUCGGAAUUACUGGGCGCAAAGGGCUCGUAGGCGGCCAACUAAGUCGGAUGUGAAAUCCCCAGGCUUAACUGGGAACUGCAUCCGAUUACUGGAUGGCUUGAAUCCGGGAGAGGGAUGCGGAAUUCCGGGUGUAGCGGUGGAAUACGUAGAGAUCCGGAAGAACCACUGGUGGCGAAGGCGGUCUGCUGGGGUGCAUGGCUGACACUGAU